rnacentral:ncRNA from 1 species
AUAGCGGAAACCGAAAAGCUAAAAGAGUAGGUG